rnacentral:misc_RNA from 1 species
UUUUUUUUUUAUAAUUUCUUUUUUGUAAUUCCUAAUUGAUUGUUGACUCAGCUUUCUUUUAAGUACAGCAAUUGGUAUCAUUUCAUUAGAUUUAAAACAUAAAAAUAUCAUUUGGCUACUACAGGUUAACCAGCAACAAUAAUUGAGGCCAGAAUUAUGACAGAAGCCAUCUGGCAAUAUCAAGUUCAGCCGGAGUGACAAAACCAUACAUAUUUAAGCGAUGGCAACAAGGAUAAAAGUCCAAGAGCACAUCUGAACUUGAAACUCUUCCAACAUGCCAAA